rnacentral:rRNA from 1 species
GACGAACGCUGGCGGCGUGCUUAACACAUGCGAGUCGAACGGAAAGGCCCUGCUUUUGUGGGGUGCUCGAGUGGCGAACGGGUGAGUAACACGUGAGUAACCUGCCCUUGACUUUGGGAUAACUUCAGGAAACUGGGGCUAAUACCGGAUAGGAGCUCCUGCUGCAUGGUGGGGGUUGGAAAGUUUCGGCGGUUGGGGAUGGACUCGCGGCUUAUCAGCUUGUUGGUGGGGUAGUGGCUUACCAAGGCUUUGACGGGUAGCCGGCCUGAGAGGGUGACCGGCCACAUUGGGACUGAGAUACGGCCCAGACUCCUACGGGAGGCAGCAGUGGGGAAUACUGCACAAUGGGCGGAAGCCUGAUGCAGCAACGCCGCGUGCGGGAUGACGGCCUUCGGGUUGUAAACCGCUUUCGCCUGUGACGAAGCGUGAGUGACGGUAAUGGGUAAAGAGGCACCGGCUAACUACGUG